rnacentral:piRNA from 1 species
UGAAGACUGAAAAUGAGUUUUCUUUAUGGC